AAAAGAGUCAUAGUGUACCCUUCACGAUUUUACACAACUACUAGAAUAAAGAUUCACAAAAUGAGCUAAACAGUUUUCUCAAGCAAUCUACUUUCAAACACUUUACAAUAUUAUGAAGUGAUAAGAGUAUUUCAACAACAUUUGCAAAACAAACAUAUGAGAAACUAUAUUAAUUUGGAAACUUGUGUUAACCUUAUUUAUAUUAGACUUCUCAACUAUAAUCAGAAAAAGGGUAAAAGGAUUCCGUGAAAGAGAG
rnacentral:lncRNA from 1 species